rfam:Phlebotomus papatasi Contig4067.4, whole genome shotgun sequence.
UAUCAGGAAAAAUCUAGCCUCUCCUAGGCUUUGUCUGUGCACUAUCUCACACACAAGUCAGACAUAGCCUGAAAGAGGUUAGGUGGUACUUGAUCA